UCCCUGGUGGCUCAGAUGCUAAAGAAUCUGCUUGCAAUGCAGGAGACCCAGGUUAGAUACCUGGGUUGGGGAG
rfam:TPA: Bos taurus chromosome 1, whole genome shotgun sequence.